rnacentral:rRNA from 1 species
GACGAACGCUGGCGGCGUGCUUAACACAUGCAAGUCGAGCGGAAAGGCCCUUUCGGGGGUACUCGAGCGGCGAACGGGUGAGUAACACGUGAGUAAUCUGCCUUUGGCUUCGGGAUAGCCACCGGAAACGGUGAUUAAUACCGGAUACGACACAUUCUUGCAUGAGACGUGUGUGGAAAGUUUUUUCGGCCAGAGAUGUGCUCGCGGCCUAUCAGCUUGUUGGUGGGGUAAUGGCCUACCAAGGCUUCGACGGGUAGCCGGCCUGAGAGGGUGACCGGCCACAUUGGGACUGAGACACGGCCCAGACUCCUACGGGAGGCAGCAGUGGGGAAUAUUGGACAAUGGGCGGAAGCCUGAUCCAGCAACGCCGCGUGAGGGAUGACGGCCUUCGGGUUGUAAACCUCUUUCAGCACAGACGAAGCGCAAGUGACGGUAUGUGCAGAAGAAGGACCAGCCAACUACGUGCCAGCAGCCGCCGUAACAC